rnacentral:ncRNA from 2 species
CCGUCUCAUCGCGCCGAUUUGAGGAUCAGCUUGCGGGCGCGUUACAAGUACGGCUAAAGCGGCCAGGCACGACCGAUC